GGUCUGGUGGUGUAGCGGUAACACACCCUCUUCUGCUCAGGAAGAAGAUGAGGUAGUUUCUGUGGGUGUCACUUGUUCGGCUCAAGGUCAGGCCG